AGUGAACGCUGGCGGUAGGCCUAACACAUGCAAGUCGAACGGCAGCACAGUAAGAGCUUGCUCUUACGGGUGGCGAGUGGCGGACGGGUGAGGAAUACAUCGGAAUCUACUUUUUCGUGGGGGAUAACGUAGGGAAACUUACGCUAAUACCGCAUACGACCUACGGGUGAAAGCAGGGGAUCUUCGGACCUUGCGCGAUUGAAUGAGCCGAUGUCGGAUUAGCUAGUUGGCGGGGUAAAGGCCCACCAAGGCGACGAUCCGUAGCUGGUCUGAGAGGAUGAUCCGCCCCACUGGAACUGGGACACGGUCCAGACUCCUACGGGAGGCAGCAGUGGGGAAUAUUGGACAAUGGGCGCAAGCCUGAUCCAGCCAUACCGCGUGGGUGAAGAAGGCCUUCGGGUUGUAAAGCCCUUUUGUUGGGAAAGAAAAGCAGCAGGUUAAUACCCCGCUGUUCUGACGGUACCCAAAGAAUAAGCACCGGCUAACUUCGUG
rnacentral:rRNA from 1 species